rnacentral:tRNA from 1 species
GGUUGUGGUUCAGUGGUAGAGCACUCGCCUAGCAUGUGCAAGGCACUGAGUUCGAUCCUCAGCACCA